rnacentral:rRNA from 1 species
AUGAAGAAGGAAUUUGGGGGCAUGGGGGUACCAAAUAUCCAGGAUAUGAAUCUUUGUCUGAUUGGGUCUUGGGUUAAAAGGUACAUAGCUUUUUGGAAAAGUUUUAUGUGGACUUUGCAAGCUGUGAAAGUGGGAUUCAAAUGGCAGGUAGGAGAUGGCAGUUUAGCUAGAUUUUGGGAAGAUACCUGGUAUGGGAAUGCUCCUUUAGCCACCCAAUACUGGGAUCUUUAUGUUUUAGUGAAUGAGAAGAAUAAAACCAUUGCAGAGAUCUAGGAUGGUCAAGAGCUCAAAUGCACAUUUAGAAGGACCUUCUCAGAUGAGCUGAUGUCACAGUGGUUUGAGUUGGUGGAUAUCCUUUCCCUGACUAAGUUUAGCCAGGAGAAAGAUUCUUUGAUUUGGAAAUAUGAGUCUAAUGGGAUUUACUCUUCUAAAUCUCUCUAUGCCAUUGUUAACUUUAGGGGUGUUCAACCUGUUUAUCUACCUGCUGUCUGGAGUGUGAAAGUACCGCCUAGGGUGCAAGGCUUUCUUUGGCUUUUCUCACAAAAUAAAACUAUGACAUGUGACAAUCUUAGGAAAAGAGGCAUUGCAAAACCCCUAGAAUGUGUCCUAUGUAAGGAGAUUGAAUCUGUGCACCAUUUGUUUUUUGACUGUUUGGUAGCUAGGCUAAUUUGGGCUGAGGUGAAUUAUGUGUUUAGUAUUUCUGUUACUGGAUACGAAUCUGUAGCUAAGUUCUGGUUGUGUGCUAAAAAACACAAGUAG